rnacentral:misc_RNA from 1 species
AACAAAGUAAAAUACUCCAAGUACAUCCCAAAAGCAAAAUUCCAUAAAGAUUAGAGAAAUCAGGAAAACAACAAUAUCCCGCAAUAACUAAGGAGGCAAGAACUGAUGACACAAAUAUACCAAAAUCUCUGUAACAUAAUAACUGCUGGCCUUAGUUUUCUCUCUGAAUCCCUCCACGCAUUCUAACCAAAUCCACUAUUACCCCAAAACAACAGAAAGCCUAUUCCAAAUGGGUUAAGCAAGAGGAAUGGGGGAAAAAAGAAAAAAGAGAUAGGGUUGAUCAUUGGCUAUUGGGAAAACACAUAAAACAAAUCAGGAGACAAAGACCUGUUAUGCCUCCUUACACAGACAAGUUAUUGCCAUUAAUUCUGCUGAAGAAUGCUAACCAAACAAAUGACUCCACUUUUGAGGAUUCUUAAUUCUUAAUCUUGAAAAUAUCUUUUUCCCAGAUUUCUCCACUAACUCAAGCAAAAACACAAAAGUGCUGCUUCCGUACAAUGACAUUGCACUCAAAUUGGGAAAAACUAGCCCAAAACUUUACUAUUUCAAACAUCCUCACCACCUCCCACACCACCGAUCCCCACAAAAAAUAAAGGAAGACCAACUCAUUUAAACUCGCAUGUUUUUCCGGCACAAAUUUAAUAAAGCAAUCUUUUAAGUAAAAUUCACUACAUUAAUGCGAGAAUCAAUAACAUAAAUUUA